rnacentral:rRNA from 1 species
AAGACCAAGGGUUCCUGUCCAACGUUAAUCGGGGCAGGGUGAGUCGACCCCUAAGGCGAGGCCGAAAGGCGUAGUCGAUGGGAAACAGGUUAAUAUUCCUGUACUUGGUGUUACUGCGAAGGGGGGACGGAGAAGGCUAUGUUGGCCGGGCGACGGUUGUCCCGGUUUAAGCGUGUAGGCUGGUUUUCCAGGCAAAUCCGGAAAAUCAAGGCUGAGGCGUGAUGACGAGGCACUACGGUGCUGAAGCAACAAAUGCCCUGCUUCCAGGAAAAGCCUCUAAGCAUCAGGUAACAUCAAAUCGUACCCCAAACCGACACAGGUGGUCAGGUAGAGAAUACCAAGGCGCUUGAGAGAACUCGGGUGAAGGAACUAGGCAAAAUGGUGCCGUAACU